rnacentral:rRNA from 1 species
AAUAGAUACCCGGUAGUCCACGCCCUAAACGAUGUCUACUGGUUGUCGGUCAGGAUACUGAUUGGUAACGAAGCUAACGCGUGAAGUAGACCGCCUGGGGAGUACGGUCGCAAGAUUAAAACUCAAAGGAAUUGACGGGGACCCGCACAAGCGGUGGAUGAUGUGGAUUAAUUCGAUGCAACGCGAAAAACCUUACCUACGCUUGACAUGCUUGGAAUCCUGCUGAGAGGUGGGAGUGCUCGAAAGAGAACCAAGACACAGGUGCUGCAUGGCUAUCGUCAGCUCGUGUCGUGAGAUGUUGGGUUAAGUCCCGCAACGAGCGCAACCCUUGCCAUUAGUUGCUACGAAAGGGCACUCUAAUGGGACUGCCGGUGACAAACCGGAGGAAGGUGGGGAUGACGUCAAGUCCUCAUGGCCCUUAUGCGUAGGGCUUCACACGUCAUACAAUGGUCGGUACAGAGGGUUGCCAACUCGCGAGAGGGAGCCAAUCCCAGAAAACCGAUCGUAGUCCGGAUUGCAGU